UGGGGAAUUUUGGACAAUGGGCGAAAGCCUGAUCCAGCAAUGCCGCGUGUGUGAAGAAGGCCUUCGGGUUGUAAAGCACUUUUGUCCGGAAAGAAAUCCUUGGCUCUAAUACAGUCGGGGGAUGACGGUACCGGAAGAAUAAGCACCGGCUAACUACGUGCCAGCAGCCGCGGUAAUACGUAGGGUGCAAGCGUUAAUCGGAAUUACUGGGCGUAAAGCGUGCGCAGGCGGUUUGCUAAGACCGAUGUGAAAUCCCCGGGCUCAACCUGGGAACUGCAUUGGUGACUGGCAGGCUAGAGUAUGGCAGAGGGGGGUAGAAUUCCACGUGUAGCAGUGAAAUGCGUAGAGAUGUGGAGGAAUACCGAUGGCGAAGGCAGCCCCCUGGGCCAAUACUGACGCUCAUGCACGAAAGCGUGGGGAGCAAACAGGAUUAGAUACCCUGGUAGUCCACGCCCUAAACGAUGUCAACUAGUUGUUGGGGAUUCAUUCCUUAGUAACGUAGCUAACGCGUGAAGUUGACCGCCUGGGGAGUACGGUCGC
rnacentral:rRNA from 1 species